AAUUGUGGCUAUACACUAUAAACCAAACCUUAUCAAAGCCAGAUCCCAGCAGCUAAGCAGGGAUGGACCUGGUUAGGACUUGGAUGGGAGACAGUUGGGAAUACCAGGUGGCACAGCGG
rnacentral:rRNA from 1 species